rnacentral:rRNA from 1 species
GACAGAGGAUGCAAGCGUUAUCCGGAAUGAUUGGGCGUAAAGCGUCUGUAGGUGGUUUUUAAAGUCUUCUGUCAAAGAUUAGGGCUUAACCCUGGGCCGGCAGAAGAAACUUAGAAGCUUGAGUUCGGUAGGGGCAGAGGGAAUUUCCGGUGGAGCGGUGAAAUGCGCAGAGAUCGGGAAGAACACCAACAGCGAAGGCACUCUGCUGGGCCAAGACUGACACUCAGAGACGAAAGCCAGGGGAGCGAAUGGG